rnacentral:rRNA from 1 species
UACGUAGGGAGCAAGCGUUGUCCGGAUUUACUGGGUGUAAAGGGAGCGCAGGCGGCACGGCAAGCCUGAUGUGAAAGCCCGCGGCCCAACCGCGGGACUGCAUUGGGAACUACCGGGCUGGAGUGCCGGAGAGGUAGGCGGAAUUCCUAGUGUAGCGGUGAAAUGCGUAGAUAUUAGGAGGAACACCAGUGGCGAAGGCGGCCUACUGGACGGUGACUGACGCUGAGGCUCGAAAGCGUGGGGAGCAAACAGG